CAGAAGAGCAGACAAUGUUAUUGGAGGAGGGUGGCCAAGCAAUGGCUGCAAAGCCAGCUUAUACUUCCCUCACAUCACAAAUACUCAGACUUAUAUUCAUGGACCAGUUGCUUCUUCUGGAGAAUCGUUUAA